AAAAAGUUAGUUUAAAAAACAUUAAUUUGUCAAAUUAAAAUUAUCCAAUGAUACUUUUUU
rnacentral:tRNA from 1 species